ensembl:lncRNA
UCCAAAGAGGAAUUACAGUCCACCAUUAUGACUUACAGACAGGUUUGUGUUGACUUUUUGCAUGUAACGUGCGUCUUUUGAAUGGAUGAUGUGGCAUAUUCAUAAACAUAUCCUAGCAGUGGGACAGACUGAGGUGGUGUGAUUCAUUUCAAGGCUGAUAUGAGCUUGUGGAAGAUGCAUCAGUGAGACAGAAAUGAGAAGAAAGGAGGCAAAUUAGCACUCUAUCCAUCCUGAGGAAAUAAAAGAGAAGGAGGCCUGGGAGAGUCAUCUCAGCAGCGAGACAGCUGGAGGAAUAGACCCAUCCAUACUUGACGAUGAGGUGGAGCGUACUUCCGUGUUGGAUCGUCACAUUGAUUCCAUUAAUCAGCUCCAGUAUCUACCUAAAAUAGGAAUGCAAACGACAACCACUCAUUCCAUAUGAGCAGCUGCUGGCAACAACAUCUACUUGAAGUGGCAGUGGGCAGCUGGCCGGUCCCCAAGAGAAGGGGAGGACAGAGUGGCCCUCUCUGCUCGGUCACCUGAGCUCAUAAUGCUGAAAGCGCUCGCCGGCCCAAACAGACACUUCGGCUGAUGUGAGGAAAUGGCAGUGUGAUUAAUGUGGCCUAAAUUGAGCCCCCGUCCCAGUUAAACCAGUCGCUGGCCAUCAUCCUCAAACCACCACACUGUACCCAUGAAUCACACGCACCUGCCCACAUCAAGCAGCACAUACAUGACGUGGACCCAUGUGACAGCCUACAGCUUUACGUUUAUAAUGAAUGCGUCAGACAUGGGAGAGCACGAUAAAUAAAAAGCACAUUUCACAAGAUGAUUAAAGGAGGAAAGCUUUUGUUUUCUUUGUGCAAAUUAAAUGACAGACACAUCAAAGGUUGCAGAGUGCUAUAUAAUGCCAUCUAGCUUAGCACAGAGUCUGCAGACACACACGCAUAUACAUAUAUACAUACAUAGAGAGUUUCCCAAGGAAACACAGCUGAAAAAGCCAGUGAGAGAGAGAAAGAGAGAGAGAGAGAGAGGCCCCCAGUACCUGCCUAUAUAGUCUCCUCUCUCCAAAUGUUUAUUUUGGACCAGACUGGUGGCCAACUGGUUGCAAUUGACCCUCUACAGGGACGAGUUAGUGAGCGAACAUGAAACUUUUCCUUUUGGGAGAGAGAAGGAGGGGAAAGCCACACACAUAUUGCAAGCUCAGACACGCAAGCACACAUGCAAAUGAGGAAACAGAUUCCCACAAACAAAAAUUUACACAAAAAAUUAACUAAAUAAAAUAACAGAGAAAAAGCAGAGACAUCAAACUACCAGCAAAAUACUACACAAUAUACAGGAAUGCAGAUAAUUUUAAUAAACAUGGACUUUGCAUUGAAAUGUGCAAUCAAUUUUC